UACGUAGGGUGCGAGCGUUAAUCGGAAUUACUGGGCGUAAAGCGUGCGCAGGCGGUUCGUUGUGUCGGCGGUGAAAGCCCCGGGCUUAACCUGGGAAUGGCCGUUGAAACUGGCGAACUGGAGUGUGGCAGAGGGGGGUGGAAUUCCGCGUGUAGCAGUGAAAUGCGUAGAGAUGUGGAGGAACACCGAUGGCGAAGGCAGCCCCCCUGGGUCAAGAUUGACGCUCAUGCACGAAAGCGUGGGGAGCAAACAGG
rnacentral:rRNA from 1 species